rnacentral:rRNA from 1 species
GGCGGCGUGCUUAACACAUGCAAGUCGAACGAUGAAGGGAGCUUGCUCCUGGAUUAGUGGCGAACGGGUGAGUAACACGUGAGUAACCUGCCCUUGACUCUGGGAUAAGCCUGGGAAACUGGGUCUAAUACCGGAUAUGACCUUCCAUCGCAUGGUGGUUGGUGGAAAGCUUUUGUGGUUUUGGAUGGACUCGCGGCCUAUCAGCUUGUUGGUGGGGUAAUGGCCUACCAAGGCGACGACGGGUAGCCGGCCUGAGAGGGUGACCGGCCACACUGGGACUGAGACACGGCCCAGACUCCUACGGGAGGCAGCAGUGGGGAAUAUUGCACAAUGGGCGCAAGCCUGAUGCAGCGACGCCGCGUGAGGGAUGACGGCCUUCGGGUUGUAAACCUCUUUCAGUAGGGAAGAAGCGAAAGUGACGGUACCUGCAGAAGAAGCGCCGGCUAACUACGUGCCAGCAGCCGCGGUAAUACGUAGGGCGCAAGCGUUAUCCGGAAUUAUUGGGCGUAAAGAGCUCGUAGGCGGUUUGUCGCGUCUGCCGUGAAAGUCCGGGGCUCAACUCCGGAUCUGCGGUGGGUACGGGCAGACUAGAGUGAUGUAGGGGAGACUGGAAUUCCUGGUGUAGCGGUGAAAUGCGCAGAUAUCAGGAGGAAC